rnacentral:rRNA from 1 species
UACGGAGGGUGCAAGCGUUAAUCGGAAUUACUGGGCGUAAAGCGCACGCAGGUGGCUGAGUCAGUCGAUUGUGAAAGCCCUGGGCUUAACCUGGGAAUUGCAGUCGAUACUACUCAGCUAGAGUAUGGGAGAGGGUAGUGGAAUUCCCGGUGUAGCGGUGAAAUGCGUAGAUAUCGGGAGGAACAUCAGUGGCGAAGGCGUCUACCUGGCCCAAUACUGACACUCAGGUGCGACAGCGUGGGGAGCAAACAGG